ensembl:lncRNA
AGGCCACCGUAAUGCCACGCUGUCCAAGGACUGCAGGGGCGAUGUGUCGCUCAACAAAAUGCCUGUCGCCAUCCAAGGCUGGACGCAGGCAAACGCCAACCGCGUCUGUAAGGAGAACCGCGUCUCUAAGGAGAACCGCGACUCUAAGGAGAACCACGACUGUGGCGAAGCCUUCGAAGGACAUGAGUCCAGUGGAGGAAACGCGCCGGGCAGCGCCGUACAGGUCAGCUGCCUGGGCCCCGAGGAUCGGCUGGGCCAUUGCAUGACCUCCGGGGUGGCGUCCGGCGGCGGCGGCGGCGGCCAAACGGUGUCGGUCUUCUGCAGACAUGCCUUUAAAUUCAACACCACGGAGAAAUGCGGAGGCCGGAUAAAAGUGCAGUACCCAGAGGGGGAAUGGCAGACGAUGUGUCUCCAUGGGACGUUAUACGACAAAGGGAAGGAAGACCUGUGUAAACAGCUGGGUAAAGAAUGUGGCGAUCCAAUCAGCGUCCCCCGAGAGUCACCUCUGAUGGAGGAAGGGGAGCAGGUUGAUCUUAAAAUGAGCUUGAAUUGUACUCAAGAACACACCACCAUCAGUUACUGCGUGAGCAAGGCUUCCUGCAAGGGGUCCAAAGUGGCGGAGAUCUACUGUGAUGGUUACGUGGCCCAGCUCCCCCCCGAGAAGACCAACCUGCAACUCUGGGUGGGCGUUGCCGCGGGAACGGUGGCUCUGCUGCUGACCGUGGGGGUCUUAUUCUUGCUGAGGCGUCACAUCCUCAGGAUGGGUAUCCCAAAGCGCCGGGACAUGGAGGUUGAAACCAGCGACUAUGACGAUGUUGGCAGCAGUGUCAACGGGAAGGGCAGCUUAAGCCGCAUGGACUCCAGGUCGCUCCCUGCUGAAGUCCAAUGGAACGACUCGGAAGACGCCUCGCAGUCAUACGAUGACAUUGCUGAGGAGGGCCCCGGCGAGACAUUGUCCCUGAUGAAGGAGGAGGCCCCCGAAGAGGAGACCCCGGAGGACAAUCCAAAGAUUUGUUACAGUGACGUCUUUCCCAGCUCAAAAGCAGACAGCGGUAGCCACGGGGUUGACAUCCUGGAGGAUAACGACGACGUGUUGGAGCCUGGACCCAAGAUCGCGGAGACGGCCGCGGAGACGGCCGCGGAGGCUGACAGCGGGCUUAGAACCCCGCACAGAGAGCUUCCAGAGGUGCCCCCGGACGACAUGGAGGGAGACCAUGAAUAUCUGGAGCAGGAUCCGCUGGGGUGAGACACGCCCACUCCAUUGUAGAGUGAGAGAGAAACGAGGUUGUCUUUCUUGGACGGACGGUUGGAGGAGAAAUGUAUGUUUAAUUGAAAUUUCAAAAUUAUGCUGUUGAAACUCAAGGCUCAUCUUGCUGGAAAGUGGCUUUUUUAAAACUUUUAUAAUAAUUAGAUAUAUUACUAUUAUUAUUAUUACUGUUAUCAACAAUUUAAUGCUAAAGCUUCACUCUUCAGUAAGUUAGUAAUAAUGUGAAUAUUUAACCAAUUUUAACUGUUUUUACUGAUACGCUGUAAUAGGAACUUUACUAAAUAAGUAAUAAAGAAUAAGUAGGAUAAGUUUCCUUUCUCUGUUGGAAUGAGUUACAAUGAGUGGCCUGCCACUGUCCUCAAACUUUCAAACUUGUAUGCCGUCAAAUCGCUUAAAAUACAUAUAGCAAUAUUUUAGCUUUUAACCAAAUAUGUUUAAGCAUGCUUAGCCUUUUUUGCUUUCAAAUGCAGCUAUUAAGCCUUGUAUAACUGUCAAGCAGUGAAGAAAAUGUGGGUUUAGAAACUCAUCAAAAUGACUUUACUCAAAACAAUACUCCUGUUCAAUAUGGC